ensembl:processed_transcript
ACAUUCCGAAGUUCUGUGAAAAGAGGCACUAGCGCUCAGCCACGCAAGGCAGGAAAACAGAGGAAGUUUUCGCAUUCUGACUGCAGCCUGAGUUCCCCGGAGCAAGGCUGCUUCUCUCCACCCACUCCUCACCAAGAACUCCUGAACUUGAGAGUGGACGACUUCAAAGCUAGCUCCCACAGACUCACCUGGAAAAGAGUUCAGCUGCGCGUUCAUUGAACUGAGAGGCCAGAUCACCUAUGUGAGGCGGUGGGAACCAUAUGGAGAUUUAUAUUAGAACUUCAGCAAAGUGCACAGCUGCAGCCGGCAGAAGCCAGCUCUCGGGCUGACAGGCAAAUGAACCAGAUCGUGGACGGGGCCUCUGGGUGGCAGCUCCGGCCUUUUGGUUGUUGGACAACUAUAGUCAGAACUGAAAUGGAACAGGGGCAGGAGAAAUAACACACUUUUACUCCACGCAACUGUUGCUUUCACAUGAUCUUCAGGAAUGUAACUGGGAUAAUUGUCCAAAUCGAAUCCCAUGCCCUGUCAUGGUACUGAUUAUUAAGGUGACUAUAUGAAAGGAUCACUCCAAAAUAACACAUACCAGAAUAGGAGUCCUGUCUUAACUGAGCAAUAUACACUAUGGAGAGAUCCUUCAAAACCCGUCGGGACGAAUAACAGAUGAAUUCAUAAAACUGUUCAUCUCUGUUAUCCUGAAUGGUCACUCAGACAACAUUUUACUCAACUAUAAAGGCAUUUGAACUGGUCGGACAGGACGACAGAGCAGUGAGCAUGAGAUCAUUGCAGCCGAGUAGCAAACUGGCACCCAGCCUUUUCACCCCUUCGGUUCGGGAGACGAACGUGUGCAGUCCUCGUUUCUCAAGUCAGCCUGGAAGGAUUCCGGGACUCUCCCACCUUCUACCAUUCUGCUGCCAGUCGGUGGCAACGAUUGGUGCAGAUUCUGCGCAGUGCUUUGUGCCUGGAAUAUGGAGAAGGAAGAGAAUGAAGACAAGCCCUCUGGACCUCCUUCUCUGAGAAAUACCGGGAGCCCAGAAG